CCCUUAGAUGUCCUGGGCCGCACGCGCGUUACACUGAUGCAUUCAACGAGCUUAUAACCUUGGCCGAGAGGCCUCGGCAAUCUUGUUAACGUGCAUCGUGAUAGGGAUAGAUUAUUGAAAUUAUUAAUCUUGAACGAGGAAUUCCUAGUAAACGCAGAUCAUCAAUCUGCAUUGAUUACGUCCCUGCCCUUUGUACACACCGCCCGUCGCACCUACCGAUUGGAUGGUCCGGUGAAGCCUCGGGAUUGUGGUUCUUGCCGCUUUAUUGUGGCGUGACCGCGAGAACUUGUCUAAACCUUAUCAUCUAGAGGAAGGUGAAGUCGUAACA
rnacentral:rRNA from 1 species